GAUGAUAUCCCAUGUGUUCCUGCAUGUCUGUGAUGUAAUUGCAAAUAUCCUUCCACUGAAAUCUAUCCGCAAUUACUCCAUCUUGAUCCAUGUGUAUGCACCAGUACGUUUUCCAUUUCCAACUCAUCUGACUUGCUUUCUUUGUGAUCUCCCCUUUGUCUUUUCUUUUACCGUUUUUUCUGGAUAUCCUUCUAUGAAAAACGAUCCACAGUAACCAAAAAGAAUCUGG
rnacentral:lncRNA from 1 species